rnacentral:rRNA from 1 species
GCGAACGCUGGCGGCAUGCCUAACACAUGCCAGUCGAACGAGACCUUCGGGUCUAGUGGCGCACGGGUGCGUAACGCGUGGGAACCUGCCCUUAGGUUCGGAAUAACUCCCCGAAAGGGGUGCUAAUACCGGAUAAUGUCUUCGGACCAAAGAUUUAUCGCCUUUGGAUGGGCCCGCGUUGGAUUAGCUAGUUGGUAGGGUAAAAGCCUACCAAGGCGACGAUCCAUAGCUGGUCUGAGAGGAUGAUCAGCCACACUGGGACUGAGACACGGCCCAGACUCCUACGGGAGGCAGCAGUGGGGAAUAUUGGACAAUGGGCGAAAGCCUGAUCCAGCAAUGCCGCGUGAGUGAUGAAGGCCUUAGGGUUGUAAAGCUCUUUUACCCGGGAUGAUAAUGACAGUACCGGGAGAAUAAGCUCCGGCUAACUCCGUG